rnacentral:pre_miRNA from 1 species
AAGUGACCAAUGUCCAGCGUCUUACCUGUUCAAUAUUUAGACUGACCAAACCCAUAGCUCUAAUACUGUCAGGUAAUGACGCUGGAUAGUCUUGUCAUUG